UACGUAGGGCGCAAGCGUUGUCCGGAAUUAUUGGGCGUAAAGAGCUCGUAGGCGGUCUGUCGCGUCCGUUGUGAAAACUCGAGGCUCAACCUCGGGCUUGCAGUGGAUACGGGCAGACUAGAGUGCGGUAGGGGAGACUGGAAUUCCUGGUGUAGCGGUGGAAUGCGCAGAUAUCAGGAAGAACACCAAUGGCGAAAGCAGCUCUCUGGGACGGUACUGACGCUGAGGAGCGAAAGCCAGGGGAGCAAACGGG
rnacentral:rRNA from 1 species